rnacentral:lncRNA from 1 species
UCCCAGGGCAGACGAGACGUUCAGGUGGAGAGACACCGUGCUUGGGGCAGGAAGGCAGCAGCAUACAGGAGCUGAAGCUGCAGUGUCCAAAAUGACUAAUUGACAAAGAGAAGGAGAGAGUAAGAGCAGAGAGCGUGGACUGCAGAGUCAGAAUGCCUGGUUCAAAUUGUGGAUCCAGCAAGGUCCGUGCCCGGGAACUCAACCUGAGCUGCCAAAGUGGAGCAUGCCGCACUUCACCUCUAGGCCACCGGGGCUGGCCCUCACUCUUAUUUAUUUAUUAUUUACUGCUGGAGGAAUAUGCAUAUCUAUAUUCUCUUGACUUAUGCAUCAUUUUGGGGACGUUGGAGAACUGUAGACAGUUCUACAUGGACCUACAUGGUUCUGACAGUGAAA